ACCAAAGCCAGCAGGUUCAGCAAAACGUAAAUGACUUGGUAAUUUCUGAGGAUCCAAAGGCUCAAGAUGAUGCAACUGAUUCGGAGCGUCUUUUCCAAACAUAUCACCACUAUGGACAUGGUUGUAAGGACGAAUAAAGGUAGUAUGCUCGGUACCUCUCAAGUCCCCAUGACCAUCAACCUCCUGAUUAGGAGCGUCUUUUCCAAACAUAUCACCACUAUGGACAUGGUUGUAAGGACGAAUAAAGGUAGUAUGCUCGGUACCUCUCAAGUCCCCAUGACCAUCAACCUCGAGUCCAUGUGAGUGGCCAGGCAAAGGUUGGAACCUACCAUCAGAGAAUAAACCACCAGCUACAUUGGAAGGAAAAUUUAAAUGUUUAGGCCCUUCAAUA
rnacentral:lncRNA from 1 species